rnacentral:lncRNA from 1 species
UACUAUUAAAUUAGUGCCACAACUAUCCAUUUGAGUUAGGCAACGUUUAGGGGAAAAAUGGAAAAAUCGAGUUUACGAAAACAGCUCUUCUGUUCGUACAAUGGAGCAGUGUGGCUCCACUUUAAGCAGGUGAUGUUAUAAAACUACAGAGAUAACAAUGCCUGGAGCAGCAGAGACUAAUAGACGUAAAAAGCUGAUUAUCUUUGUACAACAUCAUUUUCUACCUCUGCUUUUGACAAUCCUUUUGAGUUAGAAGCUAACUUUAGCGUUUUCUAAUAUUGCCUCAAAAAUUGCUUUUAUGUCAUGUGCAUAUAUUGUAUGAUAAGAAACCAUCUUAGGGAACAAAUUACAAACAAGUGUAAAAAUAUACUUUGAAGAAGUUAGAAUCACAUUAAGCCCACUAGAGCUCCCAUUCUUUUUCAUUUUAGAUUAUUCAGUUCUGCGAUUUUUAGAAGUCUGAGCUGUUUCCUUUGGUAGGUAUGGCUUCGGGUUACUAAGAAGAUUGCUAGUAGACAUUUCCCCCCUGCCAGCUCCAGUGAUGUGAUAGCUAUUGAAUAUAAGGCAGUAAGUGUUUGGUUCAGUUCAGCAUCAUUGUCAAGCUUGUACAAUGGGACCUUAGGCAGAUGUACACUAAGGUGACUAUGUCUUGUUCCUUGUCCUCAAGGAAUUCCCAGUUUGGUGUCAGAGAAGGCACCAUAUGUGAAUAUUUGCCAUGUGAUCUGGCCUGUACUCUAAGAUGGCUCUAAGCACUGACUGCAGAGGAGGGACCUCGACCAGCACAGGUGCAAAUGGUGAAGGACCAGAUGAAGCAUCCAACUCCGAAUUUUUGCAUUUUGUAACCUGGCCCAUUAGUGGUUAUGAUGUCCAUUUAUUUGGUCAUAACCGAAAAACACUUUUGGAAGUUAAAAAAAAAUGAACUAGAAACAUUGCCUCCAGCCUCAGCUUCCUUUAGUCCUUUCUCCACCAUCUUUCUGAGAUGCAAAUUUCAUGUUUACCUUCCUGAUGAAACUCUGUGGGUCUCUCACAUGGCCUGCCUGGUGGGGUCUGGAUUCCUCCUUCUGGCAUCUUCUUCUCUGGCCCUCCUAUCUCCCCAGCUUCAUGACCUGUUACUUCCCUUUGCUGUCCCAGUUCUCCAGCCAUACUCAAUCACUACCGAUUUGCCAAUUGCCCUUGAAGGUUCCUUUGCUUUUGGUAGUAUCCUAAUCACCUUACAAGACCCAGUCAGGAUUUUCUCUUUUGUGAAAGCUUUCUUCACCUCCCAAGCAAAGUGGUCUUUCCUUCCUUUGUGUGAUCACUGUGGCUUAUUCAUACCUUUUACUGUAGCAGUAAGUGUAGUGUCUUGCAAUUACUCACUGAGAUAGCCACACCUAACAUCUAAGUGUCUUGACAGCAAAGAAAAUAUCUUAUUUAUUUUUAUCUGCCUGGUAUAGAGAAAGCAGUAAAAAAAGAAACUUGUGGUGAAUAACAAAUGAUUACCUUUUUUUUGCUCUGUUGUAGCAAUUAAUUCAGUGUCUUGCAAUUAUUUAUUUACAUAAUCCACUCCAAUUCCAGUCUAAAUAUCUUGAGGGCAGAAACUAUGCCUUAAAUAUUUUUAUCUGGUUAACAUAUAAGAUGAAUGAAUAAACAAACUGUGAGUUAAUUUGGGAAACUUACCAUCAAUAAUAAUAUUUUAUAUCUUUAAGGACCAUUAAGUUUUCCUAAGGAGCAGACUUACAACAUGAAUACUGCAUUACUUGAGAAAGAUAUAUCAAGAAUGUUGUUGGGUGAAAGUUAUCAACUAUUUUACAAGAAUGGUAAUAACCCUGUCUCCCCUACUCCUCCGUAGAAAUAACCAAAUGAUGAUCUGAAAGAGAUGUGGUACCAGACACGCUAGAAACAACCGACAGAUGAAUAAAAGAAAAUUUAGGGCACGCAUACUCUUGCAAAAUGACUUCUGUUUGGCCGCACCAUCACUUUCAGGGUUUGGGAGAGGGCUGAGUCCUGGAAGGUCAGCCCAUCUUGCUGCUUGUGGCUCCCUAUAGAGGAGACAGGAAAACUCGAGGUGCCCCAAUUUGAGAGAAGUUUCCUUGCUCUUGGUACCACCUCCCUUCCCUCACCAAGCCUCAGCUUCGGGACAUUUAAAGGAUGCCCGCAAAGCUCCGAGCUCCCAGGUUCCCAUCCUCAUAGGGCUCUUAUCCAAUGAGGGCAGCACCUCCAACAAUUAGAUGCUAAGCAAAAAGUACUCAAAGCACCAAUUUCUCUCUUUCCACUUCAUUUCCUUUAGCACCCCUAUUCCAGUAGUUCAUUGACCCCAUGGGUCCUCCAGGCCAUUUGCAAUCCAUCCCCUCCUCGUGUCCGCCUCAUCCAUCACCAGCUUCGAGCCCUGGUUCAAUCGCUAUGAUUGAUCUCUCAGUUAUGCUCACAAUUCCAUAGACAAUAGGCAGAAAAUUAAAACCCUGAGGCCAGAUCAACCCAUGGACAAGUUUUAUAUAAGUAGUGUUGAAUUGGAACACAGCCACCUCCUUGAAUUUAGGUAUUGCCUAUAGCUGCUUUUGCACUAUAGGAGUGAGCUGAGUCGUUCUAAGAGACACCCUGUGGCCCACAACACAAGCCUAAAAUAUUACUAAGAUAUUCACUGUCCGAAUCUUUACAGAAGGUGUUUUCUAACCUAUGCCCAAGACCUUCUCUCCAUCACAUUCGCUUGGAAGAACCCACUUCUCACCCACUCCUUUACCUACUUAUGAGCAGCAGGACGGGCUGAACAAAAACCCAUGCAGAAGUUGAAUGAACUCAGUUGACAUUUAUGGCCAACAUUUUCAAGUAAGCUUUCCACAAUGCCCAGAAAAUCAGCUUUAACUACCUAGUCAACUAAUUCUUCUGCUUGAAUGAAAUGGCUAUUUCACGUCUUCUCUUUCCUGGAAACUCCAAUUACCCCUCUUCUCUUCUCAUUCUUAGAUAAUAACUUUACAUUAUUUCACUAAAAAAAUAUAAAUAACUACUAGGAAAAGAGUAGACUAUCCUCCAUCAAACCUACCAGCCUAUUGGCAUCUCUUCCCAUUCUCUGUGCAUCCAUCUCUUACAACACUUGAACUCUGUCUGCUCCUGAGGCCAACUCCUUGACAUGCAUGUUGGAUCUUACCUACCCAUAGAUCUCCAAACUACAAUUAUUCUCUUUCCUAUCUUAUCAGUUUAUCUUUCUGUCCUAGAUCAUGACUAUCAAUAAACAUACAAAUUCCCACAAGAAUAAAAAUGUUCUGAGAAUCCUCAUGCCUUCAGCCUCAGCCCUAGUCCUCUGUGGCCUUGGAACCAUCCAUCUAGAAAAGCAUUGUCUCUAUAGACCCUCCACCUCCUCAUCACCAAUUCUCUCUUCAGUUCCUUCUCCUCUGGCACCACCCAUGCCUUAGUCUGAGAACAUAAUUACCAAGGCCCCAAGGUCAUUGUGCUUAACCUCUCAGGAGUGUAUGAUGUAGGGAUGCCUUGUCCUCCUAAAACUCGUUUUUUUUUUUUUUUUUGGCCCUCAGGACAUUGGGACCUCCCAGUGUUCUUUCCGCUUCUCUGUGCCUCCUCAGUCUUCUUUGCUGGCUUCUCCUCUCUUCGGUUUCUAACUCAGAGAACAUCUCAGCCUUCAUACUUCUUCUUCACCUGAGCUCAUUUCCUCAAGUCUCACCCUGUCCCAUGUAUUUAAAUGCCACCAGUAUUCUGUUGCUUAUCAAAUUCAUAUUCCAGCCCUGAGCACUUCCCAAAACUCUAUGUCGACUCUCUCCUACCCAUCUCAAACUUAUCAAGGCCAAUGUGAAGCUCCUCCUCAAACAUGCUCCUUCCCUAGUCUUCCCUGUUCCAUAAAUAAUCACUCCAUUCUUCCACUUAUAAUCCAACAAAUAUCCUUGUCCAUGCUAUUAAUCUCUCCCCUGACAUUCAGUCCAUCAGAUCCUCCUUUGCAAUAAGUCUGAGUCUGGCAUCUUCUUACCACCUAUGCCUCCAUCAUGUCCUGGCUGGUCUGAGUCUCCACCAGCAUCUCCUGCCUGCUUGUCUUUGGCCCUCCUCUUGCCCUUAUCUCCCCCUUGGCCACUCGCUUCCCCCACAUCAAUUCUUCCCGUAGAAAUCAGAGGGAUUUUAUCUUAAAUAUAAAUCUGUUAUGUCACUUCUAUACUGUAAAUGUUCCAGUGGCUUUCUAUCAUGCUAAGAACCCAGAGUCAUUUGCAUCAUCCAAGAGGCCCCUUGAGGUCUGACCUUGGUCUCUCUGACCUCGUGCUGAUGGUCAGCCUGCUGUGCUCCAUCAGCAUUUUUACUGUUCCUUUUACAUCUAGGUUCUUCUUUUCCCAAGGCUUUCCCACUUGCUCUUCCCUUGGCUUGGAACCACCUCCCAGGAGCUUCUUCACAUGGCAUGCUCCCUUACCACCGCCAGCAUACAGUCCAUAUUCAGAUGUCACCUCCACAGAGAUAUCUUCCCCAACCACCUGGCCUUCUUCUCCGACUGCCCUCCACCCUUGACUCUGCUUUGUCUUCCAAGCCCACGUGGUGAUAAGGGCUUGGAAGACAAAGCAGAGUCAGGGGUGGAGGGCCGUUCCACCUAUUGCAAAGGAGGAGCUGAUAGCAUGACACCUUUGUUUUUUAUUGUUGGGAUCCUCCCCUAGAACAUAAACCCUAUGAGCUCUGUGACUCUGUCUCAUCACCCCUGUGUCCUGGGGUCUAGAACAGAGCCUAACACACAGCAGGCUUACGAGAACCACUUUGGGGAUGAAUAAAUACAAUUGUUAUACCUAAUUUCGAAUCCUUGUAAUUAGUAUAAGGAGAGUAACGAACUUCUGCAAACUUAAAGAUCAACAAGGGAAGAAAUGAUGCCACUCUGAGAAACACUGAAAUGUGGUUUUAGUAAUGCCUUAAUGAUGUUCAUUAAAGGUCCAUGAAAUCUCUCCACUUUACUUUCAGUUUCUCCACUGAGGCCUGUAGGAUGAGCUGGAGAUCCUUUUCCUGAUUAUGAUUGUAGAUACCAGAGGGCCUGACCUGGGCUUUUGUUAGGAAGGAGAAAAGGAGGUUGAAGGGCUGGUGAUCUGACUUGCACCCCAUGAAGCGAAGGGGAGCAUGUGGACGCUCAGUGAAGGGGCUCCCACGGGAGAAACGGAAUUCCACGACUUGGCCCAGGUCCAGUGGUGACAAUACUCACCCAUACUCUGUUCCUUUUGCAGGAAUUUGUCGUUUCUCCCAAACAUCCACUGAGGGAAUGAAAAGCUCCAUGGAACUUCUCACUCCCAUCAAGUUCUAAUUUGCAGAGGUAGAGUUCCCGUCCUAAGAGGUCUUUAUGCUCAUGCUUUGCUUUGUAUAGACCAGAUAUUCUAAAUACUUUUCAUCUUCUGCUUCUGAUAAACAUGUCAUUGCAUUUAACCAAAAUAAAAAAACCCUCAUGGUUUCAAUAAAAUGAGCCUUUUAACAAAUACUUAACUGACU